UGAAAAAACUCUAUUUUUUUUUAUUUGUUCUAUUUGAUUUCUAUUUUUUUUUUUUUUUCCAUCUAGUUUAUCUAGUUGU
rnacentral:ribozyme from 12 species